CCUUUGUACACACCGCCCGUCGCUACUACCGAUUGAAUGGCUUAGUGAGGCCUCUGGAUCGGCUCCGGCUGGCUGGCAACGGCUUACCGCUGUCGAGAAGCUGGUCAAACUUGGUCAUUUAGAGG
rnacentral:rRNA from 1 species